CCUACGGGAGGCAGCAGCGGGGGAUCUUGGGCAAUGGGGGAAACCCUGACCCAGCGACGCCGCGUGGGGGAAGAAGGCCUUCGGGUCGUAAACCCCUUUUGCCGGGGAAGAUGAUGACGGUACCCGGCGAAUAAGCCACGGCUAACUACGUGCCAGCAGCCGCGGUAACACGUAGGUGGCGAGCGUUGUCCGGAUUUACUGGGCGUAAAGGGCGUGUAGGCGGCCCGUUAAGUCCUCUGUGAAAUCUCCCGGCUCAACCGGGAGGGGUCAGGGGAUACUAGCGGGCUGGAGGGGGGCAGAGGAGGGUGGAAUCCCCGGUGUAGCGGUGAAAUGCGUAGAUAUCGGGAGGAACACCAGUGGCGAAGGCGGCCCUCUGGGCCCUACCUGACGCUGAGGCGCGAAAGCGUGGGGAGCAAACCGUAUUAGAUCCCC
rnacentral:rRNA from 1 species